rnacentral:rRNA from 1 species
AGCGAACGCUGGCGGCAGGCCUAACACAUGCAAGUCGAACGAACCUUUCGGGGUUAGUGGCGGACGGGUGAGUAACACGUGGGAACGUGCCUUUAGGUUCGGAAUAACUCAGGGAAACUUGUGCUAAUACCGAAUGUGCCCUUCGGGGGAAAGAUUUAUCGCCUUUAGAGCGGCCCGCGUCUGAUUAGCUAGUUGGUUGAGGUAAUGGCUCACCAAGGCGACGAUCAGUAGCUGGUCUGAGAGGAUGAUCAGCCACAUUGGGACUGAGACACGGCCCAAAACGGGACGGGGGGCAGCAGGGGGGAGUGGCGCGCACUGGGAGCGGGGCGGGCGGAGGCAUGAGGUGUGAAGGAUGAGGGUCGUAGUUUUGAAAAUUUCUGUCAGGGGGGACGAUAAGGGCGGAAGCGGGAGAACCCGCCCAGGCUAGCGUCGUGCCAGCAGCCGCGGUAAUAAGCGGAACCGCACACGUCUGAAC